UAUGUGAUCGUCUCUCGCAUAUCAAUAAGCGGAGGAAAAGAAACUAACAAGGAUUCCCCUAGUAACGGCGAGUGAAGCGGGAAGAGCUCAAAUUUGAAAUCUUAAAGGGUUUCCCUUUACGAAUUGUAGUUUAAAGAAGUGUUUUCUGUUGAGGUUUUGGUAAAAGUUCUUUGGAAUAGGACAUCAUAGAGGGUGAGAAUCCCGUAUUUGACCUUUACUUUCAACUUUGUGAUACACUUUCAAAGAGUCGGAUUGUUUGGGAAUGCAGUCCAAAAUGGGUGGUAAAUUUCAUCUAAAGCUAAAUAUUGGCGAGAGACCGAUAGCGAACAAGUACCGUGAGGGAAAGAUGAAAAGAACUUUGAAAAGAGAGUUAAACAGUACGUGAAAUUGUCAAAAGGGAAGCGUUUGACACCAGUGUUGUUUUUCUGAAAAUCAAUUAAAGAACUGUUUAUGCUAAGUUGUUUAGACUUUAUCAGCUAAUCUGUUUAGUUUUGAGCUUUUCUUUAAUGCACUUUUCAGUUAACAAGUCAACAUCAAUUUCUUUUGCUGUAAAAAAGCUUGAGGAAGGUGGCUUGAGAUUCGUCUUAAGUGUUUAUAGCCUCUUGCCUAUGCAGUCGGAGAGAUUGAGGUCUGCAGCGUAGAUCCUUCGGGGCUAAAUGCAUUUGUGCUAAGUUAUAGCAUUUUAUAGACAACUUGUUGACUAUGAUUUGUCUUGUAGCUUACUCGCUUAUGUUAUUCUACCUACGCUUAGGAUGUUGACUGAUAUGUAGUCGUA
rnacentral:rRNA from 1 species